UUGCAUAUACGCCAAACCCCGGGUGACCGGGGGACGGAAAGCCACGGGACUCACUUAUUUUUGCGACAAGUCAGCCGGGUUGCCGGU
rnacentral:ncRNA from 1 species